AGGCAUCAUCCCUUAACUUCAGUUUCACCAGUUUCUCAAACAGCAGCUUCUUCCAAGCAACUGCCUGUCUGUCUGCAGCGUCUUUGCACAGCUUGUCCCUCUAUGACCAGUUGGAGAAAAACUGUUAUCUCCUUCCUACAGCCAGGGCAUGAAGAGAUAAAAAAGCAAUUCCAGUGCCAAAGCUCAAAGUCUACCUGCCCAGCCUUCAGCCACCACCCUUUCUUAGCAAAAGCUGAUGGUGUCCUAAGCCUGAAACCUCCUCAUGUUUUUCUUGAAGAUUUCCCCAAACAUCCCUACAUGUUCUGUAUUCAGAGACACACAACCACCAACUCGUGUUCCUGCUGAUAGUCACCAAUGAAGGUGCUCAGUGCCCAUUUUCACCUUCAGAGACCACCCUGAAAAGGACCAUGUGCCUAAAGAUGGUCUCAGCUUCUGCUGGAAUGGAGCAGCUGCAGGUUCACAAGCUCCAGUCCCUGAAGGCUUCACAGCAACAGUGCUCUUUUCAGGUUGGAGUCCGGUGCCCGAUGAUGCUGAUACAUGUCUCCUUCUGCUCCCCAGGAGCGCUGGACUGCAGCCCAGAGCUGCAUUUCAGUGGCUCUCUAAAUCACUUAAGGCUUUGGCAAAGUGGGAAAACAGAACAGAAAAUACCAAGAGAGAAGAAGAUUAAGCCUAUUGAACUACACUGUUCAAGAUUGUCUGAACAUACAGCUGGGGACCCACUCAGGAGUCUCAGGGCAAGUAUGGUUUUACCAUGGGAUGUUCUCUGCAGAGCUCUAUGGGAUUAGGUGAACAGGGUUAACUCUUCACGUUCUACUCAACUAUUAACCCCCAGCAAUCUGCUUUUCAUGCUCCUGGGCUUCUCUGAGUUCAAGGGGUAAGACAGAAUUUAGGCUAAAGGCUCAUUUCUGCCAGAUUUGGGCCCUGGCUGCACAUAGUCUGCUCCUUUCAUCCAUCUAGUGACUUCAAGCAGACAGGAUGCUUCAAGUCAGACAGAGCAGCCUGGUUGAUUAUUCUGCAAAUAUUUUGCUUUUUCAGAUUUGCUUACAUAUCAAAAUAUGGGUUUAGCUGAUAAAAGCCAACAGCUCCAUCAGAGUCCAUUACAAUCUAUCAGGCAAAUAUUCAGUAAUUUCCAAAUUAGUCCAUGGACAAUGCAUUCAAAUGAUCUUCGUAAUCUCUCUUGUAAAAAAAAAAAAAAUAAUCCACUGUUAUAAGAAUUACCUAAACAUGGAUUUACCAGGCAGAUAUCUUACAAUGUAAAUGACUUGUGUUUGGAUAGGUAGAAUGCAUAUCAAAAUGCAUGCUCAUAUGAGAGACCAUAUUGACUCUUUCCAAGCUGUUAUGGUCUAUUAGAUAAAUAUUAUCUUGGUUCAGGACUGUGGGAGUUUUCUAUAUGCACAGUUUCCUGAUAAGCCAUAUGGACUCUCAGAUAAAAUUGUGUCUUCCGAUUUAGAAAGUGAUAUGGCCGAAAAGCUGUAAUGAGUAUGAGAAAGCUCCUGUUAACCAAUUAAUCAGAAUGUGUCACUGAAUGCCCCCUCCCCUUUUUGUGGUAGUAUGUGCUAUAACAUACAUCCAGUAAACAUGCAUUUCUCAGCGGUAUUUUGACAAUACCCACAUGCCAAGGGCAUAGCAACCAAUCCUUGUACAACAGUUGUGGCUUUAUUCGUAUCCCUAUGUUACUGUGAUUCCAGUCAUCUUUCUGUUUAUUUCCCCUCUUGUUAAUACAAAUGCAUGUAAACUUACAACCACGGCUCACCAAUAUUAACAGAAAGAACUUCACUGAUUUCAAAGGCAUGAGCUUCAGUCACA